rnacentral:tRNA from 1 species
GGCACUGUGGCUUAGUUGGCUAAACCACCUGUCUUGUAAACUGGAGAUCCUGUGUUCAAAUCCCAGCAGUGCCU